rnacentral:rRNA from 1 species
UACGAAGGGGACUAGCGUUGUUCGGAAUCACUGGGCGUAAAGCGCACGUAGGCGGAUCAUUUAGUCAGAGGUGAAAUCCCGGGGCUCAACCUCGGAACUGCCUUUGAUACUGAUGGUCUCGAGUCCGAUAGAGGUGGGUAGAAUUCCUAGUGUAGAGGUGAAAUUCGUAGAUAUUAGGAAGAAUACCGGUGGCGAAGGCGGCCCACUGGAUCGGUACUGACGCUGAGGUGCGAAAGCGUGGGGAGCAAACAGG